GCGGGGGAGGGGGAGGGGGCGGCCGCGCGCAGGGCUUCCAAGCCCGAGGCCAGGCUGGAUAACGGGACCCGGAGGCCGAAAGCGGAGCUGGCCGACCUGGACUUUCUGAUUUUCCUGGUUCCCGAAUCCCCACAUCUCGACAACACAGCUCCAUCCCCAUCCCCGAGAACCUCGAUCUUUGACCCGCCAGUAGGGGGUCGGAACCGUAUACAGCGAGUGCAUUAGUGUCCACGCACAUCUGUCUGUGGAAUGUGUGCAUCCGCAUGUCCCGAGGGGCUACUGUGUCUCUAGGAUGGGAGUGAGUGUGUGCCCUGUGUGUUAGUGCUGACUCCAUCAGAACUUCUGGUCCCUCCUCCUCCCUCCCUGAUUGCAUCAUUAGUGCUAAUUGAGGGGCUUUCACACGCCAGUGCAUUAGCUGUUUGGAGUGAGCUCCCCCCUCCUGCGAGAUAAGCUGCCGCCCCUCCCCCUCGUGGCUCUCCACUUCCCUAGGGCACUGAAACUGUCCACCGAGGUCGUCUCACUUCCUCAGGCUCCCUCCUGCUUUGCUCUGGGCAGGAAAAAGUUAUCUCUCUUCCUGCAGUGCCGUGGAUUCGGCUGGAGCGACGGCAUAUGGGUUCUACAGUGUCUACUCAAGAAGUGUGAGGACCAGCUAGCUACCAUGCCCAGGAGAGGUUUGACUUCUGGCGGUUUCACCUCUGAUGGCUGCACAACCAAACACUGUGACAUCACAUCCUCCCAGCUUGCCCGUGUUGAAGAACUCCGUUUCUUUCAACCCAGGUCGCUAAUGCCUCUGUUGGAGAAUUGUUUUCCUCUCAAAACAACCAGGGGAUGAGCUGAACUGGUAACUCAGGCUUCCAUGGGCUUCCGGUAGCCCUCUAUGCAGCCUGGCACCCCAACUUUCCACCAGCCGGAAGAAAGCUACACUCCUCAGCCUGAGGCAGGUGCUUUCUUCCAGGCCAUCUUCUACCUUCCUGAAGUGCCUUCUCCUGGUCCUUUGGUCCCUUCCUUUGUCUCAGCUGCAUGUGCAAGAUUUUAUAGAAAGUAAAGACAAUCCUUCCAUUACCAGGGUAUGCAGGGCCCUGGAGGAUGUAUUGUUGGAAUUCUGUGGCUUUCUUUCCUUUAAGAAUGUACAG
rnacentral:lncRNA from 1 species